rnacentral:lncRNA from 8 species
GCUUGGUAAGACUUAAAAGAAAAGAAAAGUAAAACGAAAACAAAAUGGAUGUAUUCAACUGCUGAGAAUUCUUCAUAAGAAUGAUUCCUGUCAUUCAUUUGCAUAAAGUGGAUUGCCCAGGAUGCAGGUCUGACCUAACAUGGCUUCAAAAAGUUACAUCACAGAACCUUGGUUCAGCUCCAUUCUGUGAUCAGUGUACUAGAAAACAUGGUCCCUGCUGCAAUCUUUCUACUGGGCCUUUAUCGAGCAAGCCAGGGUGCAGUGCAUCAAUUGACCUAACACCACAGGGGCAGCCAACGAAUGAUGCCCCUGUGAUGAGAACACUUCCAGGGCUUGCGGCCGGAGCUACUGGGCUGACUUACCACGAAAACCAGCUCACUAACGAUGCAUGGUAUUUGGAGCACACAAGGAGGGAAGACAGUCCUUCUCCUCCUCCAUCUCCAGAGUAUGACAACAAUGUAUCCUCCCUUGCAGAGGCCUUUGAUGGCCAUGAAGAAGAGGACAGUUUAUCACCUGCUUCAGUGUACAUGGACUGCCUUGAGGAGCUUAGCCCAUCUCCCUCAGCAGGAUCCCCUCAAGCCGACUCUCCCCCAGACUCUCCUGCUUUAUUUAUCGUAGAAAGUGAUGAGGGGGAGCAGUUCUCGGAACUCCGUCUCUCUCCAUUUCCAGUUUUCGUUGAGUGUGAGCAGUGCAACAACUAUUGCUGUUCUCCUUUAGGAGAAAGGAUUGAGACAUCUCCAGAACGUGGGGGCAAAAUUAAAUCAUCUGCUGAAAAAUGGCAAGAGAUCGAGAAAGUUCCAGAGUUUAAGAAAAAUAUUGAGUUGUCUCCAAACUCUGGGCAAACAUCUGACGCUUCCCCUGAGCCAGAACCACAAAUUGAACUGUCCAGGGAGCAUGAGACACUAAAAGGGCCAUCUAACCUCUGGCAAGAGAUUGUGUCAGCUUGUGAACCAUCGCAAAUGAUUGAGCAGUCUCCUGAUCACAAACAAGAGGUAGAGUUUAAUUCAGACUCCUGUCAAGUGUUUGAGGAGCCCCUGCAAUGGACUGAGCAAAGCAAAGAGCCUCAGGAAGUGCUCCAGUUGCCUCUGCCACCAAAACAAACAGUUGAGCAGUGCCUUCAAGACAUUGAGCUGCCUCAUGAAUCCAUGCUUUGGAAUGAUCCAUAUCCAAAUUCUGGUCAAGAGUUGGAAGUGUCAACUGAGCCCAAACAACAGAUUGAGUUUUUUUUAAAAACCCACCAAAUAAUUGAAAUGUCAUCUGAACCUAUGAUUGGCUUAUCUGCUGAGCACAGACCAGCUGUUGAACCACCACUUGAGCCUAGAAUAUCUUCUACUGAAACACAGCAGAAUGAUCUCCAGCAAAUAACUGUGCCUUCCCCAGAACCUGGCACAGUGUCAAAGGCUCCUACUGAGCCCUGGCCAGAAACUGAAUCAUCCUUUGGUCCAUGGCAAGACAUUGAACAAUUUUCUGAGUACAAUCAAGGGACUGAGGUGUCACCAAACUCCUGGCAAAUAUUGAAAGUAUCUGAAGUAUCUCAGCCCCAACAACUGACUGAAUUGUCCACAGAGACACAAGGAGAGUUUAAGCUUCCUUCUGAACCUAUGAAAAGGAAUGAGGUGUGUACUGAGCAGAGGCUAGGGGUUGAAUUAAACCCUGACUCGUGGCAAGGAUUUGCGAUCUCUACCGACUCCAAGCAACAAAACAAACCAUCACUGGCGACUCAGGGAGUGUUUAAGGUACCUAUGCCACCAAGACAAAGGGCUACGUGGUCUUCUGGGUGCAUGCAACUGAUCCAACUGUCUCAUGAGCCCAUGGAAGGUAUUGAUCUUCCUACAAACGAUGUGCAAAUGUUUGAAACAUUUUCUGGGCCCAAACAAAACAUUGAGGUUUCUUCUAAAUCCCACCAAGGGACUGAGUUGUCCCACGAUCACAGGCAAGAGAUUUACUUACCCCCUUCUCUUGACUUUUCUUCCUCUCCUCCACCACCUAUGUUCUUCUGUGAUGUAAAACCAUAUAACGAUUUAAGACUCACGCCAUCCAGCCCUUCGCAUGAUGAAGAGUUUGAUGAAGCAGAAUCUCUUGGCACCACAUGGAGUCCAGAGUUUAUGGCAAGUGAACAACCUGAGCUGGCAGAAGAAGAUUCCCAUAUCUCCAUUCAGAGUCAUGGGCCAAUGCAAAGGGUGAAGAGAUUGACCCCGUACCCAUACACUAGACCAAGAGCUAUUGAGCACCAUGAGAAUGAAGAUAGAGACAGGUGUUUAUAUACAGUCAACCCGGCAGACCUACCUGACACAUCUGGAGGAAGUAGAAACCUGCCCGAGAUUUUAGAGUUAGAAGCUGAAGAUGCAGAUUAUGACUCUGAUAACAAGGACACGGAAGAGGGCUUCUGCUGUAAUGGCAGAACUCAGAGCUCCCAACUAGCAAGUCCAUUGGCUGGCACCUCUGGGAAUGCAAGAUCACCCAGGCACCAGGCACCAGAUCCUCAACAUGCAAACACAACUAAGUCAAAGCAGGUUUUUUUCGGAAAUGUCCAAAUUCACAGCAAGCUUGUCAAGUCAACCACCCAGACCUCUUAUGACCACAAGCCUACGAUUGCUCAAGGUAGAAAGCGUUCCAGAAAAUCAAGCCGUCAGGAGGAGAUCAAUGACGAGAUAGAAAUGACUCUCAGAAGGAGCACUGUGGCCCGCCGCACCAGCACAAUUUUUUCCCACUCUCGUACACCUAAGCCUUGUAGCACUGUGUCAAGACACCAAAGCGAUUAUGGUGAAGAGGAUGAGAACUGCUGUAGCCGGAGUUCUAAGAGCCAAAGGCUUAACAACCCCACUCUAAUGAUUCUAUAUUCAGGUGAGGAUGUACCUUCUUAUUUGCCAAAUUUCCUUCCAACCCCUGGCAGACUAAGUCCUACUCUUGAGGAUAGUGCUAAGAUUAGCUGUUCUAGCCACGCCCUGGGCCAACAGGGUCCCUCAUUCACAAGGAACAGAAGUGGAAUGAUGAUGAGGGCAACACUGAAUCCCCCAGCAGAGUCAGAGACCGACAAAACAGAAGAAGAGAAAGUCAAAAGGACAAUCGCCUCUGAGGACAAAGACUCUGACGCAUAGCAUCCUCCUCACCCGUCCCCCCAUCUUAUCUUCUAUUCUUGAACAAUAAACACAUUCAGCAUCAUAAUUGAGCCUAUAUUGUAGUCAUUUUACAGUGCUGUUGUGUAAUACAAUAUGACGAUUUGUGGCAUGGAUCUGGAGUGUGUUUUUGCUUAAGAGAGUAAGAGAGAGUGAGAGUGAGAGAGAAAGAGCGAUAGAGAGAGAGCGAGAGAGAUAGAUAGAGAGAGAGCAAAACUGCAUGUACAAUUCAACUUUAAAUGACUCAAUGGCAUUUACAUUUGCCAAGACCCACUCUAAGUUUACAGUUUACACUGUUGGUAGAAACAGAGACUGAGGAGUACAUCUUGAACUAUUCACAAUCAAUCAAUAUUCUCCUACUAUCAACCAAUUACACAGAGGUCAUGCCUUUCUGACAGAAAUAUAAAAAAUCAUGAAAAGUGAUUAGUGUCUCGAGUCUCAUUCAUUCACCUACCUGCGGUGUUGGUCUGCAGACUGCAGAACGGCUCCCCACUGCACCUCUGUGUCACUGACAGUCUGCAUGACAUCCAGUUUCAGACGCUCUCCCAGGCCCGGUCUGUGGGCCAGCCUGUGGCAUGCUUCCUUCAGCUCCUUCAUUCGAGACUCUCCCUCUGCCUUGGCACUCAACACAGUCUGCCAGACACAACAGAGGCAGCAAGAGACAAAGGUUAUGUUUAAAGGUACAAUAUGUGACUUUCAUUUCAGGUCAUUUCCUUUUUUGUGCGCUAUUAGAGGACAUCUGCACCACCACCAAAUAAUCUGCAGGCGGAGUUUGGAGUAAGCCCAAAGACAGGUUCUUACCUCUGCAGCUUGUAGUCUUUGCUCAGCCUGGCUGUGGUAGCAUGGGGCUCCAGUGGCCAGAGAGUCAGCCUGCUGUUGCAAGACUCUAACCCAGGCGUGGGUGUCCUGGGCCAGAGUCUGGAAGGCCUGGGUGUGGCUGGACAGAGAGCUCUGGUUCUCCUUGGAAGAAAGCAGAUGGGUGUGGAGACUGCAGCAGCGCUCUAGAAGUUUUUCACCCUCUUUUAGUAGGGGGGAAUGCUUUAGGGUGCUCCCAUGCAAGGUGGUUAUGUGUCCACUGAGGGCCUCUAUGUGCUUACUAGAUUUGGUGGAGGAGAGACAGAUGAGUUAAAACCAUCACUACCAUCAUUAUGACCUUUAUGGCCAUCAUCAUCAUCAUCAUCAUAAUUAUUGUUUUGAUCAUUAUUGCAAAUGUCAUCAUUGUAGUUAAUGCAAUUUUAGAUUAUGUGACCUGUGCUCGACUAUUUCCUCCUGCAAGCGGCUAAGCUCCUCUCCUUUCUCCACCUUCAGCACUGCAGCUUGCAACCACUCUUGCAGAUGGGCACACUCCUCCUGCAGACUACCACACAAACACACACACGUUAGUAAAACACUACUGCAAGUAAAUCCUAACUAAUAUGUUAUUUGCGUACCAUAAAAUAUAGUGCAACCAAAACCACUAAAAAUCAUAGAUGCUGUAUUUUGGAGUACAUUUGGGGGAACAUGGAAUCUGAUAGUAUGUCACACAUUAUACACCCAAGACGGACUAAUAUCUGAAUAGAUACACUUGUAACUAUCAAUAGGUAUGCUUGUGACAGCCAGUACCUGUGCAAGGCCUCGAUAUCGCUCUGGGCCUGCACCCUCAUUUCACUAAUGUGCUGAUGGGCUGCACAGACAAGCUCAUGCAGUCGGACACCAUCCGCAGCUAGGCUCUGCAAGCUCUGUGGGCUGGCCACGGAGGUCAUGAGGUGCAGCUCCUCCAGGAGGCCCUCCGCCUGCUUUUCCUGUGUCUGAAGCUGUGCAGACAGCUCCUGCACAUGAAAGCAGGUGUUUGAGCAAUGAGUACCAAGACUAGUGGCAGGAGGAGAAUAAUAUUAUGGAAAGCAGUGUUUUUUAACAUUGGGUAGUUUUAGACACUAAUAAGAACAUAUAAUAGGUUCAAGGAACAUUUUUGUGUCUUUAUAGUCAAUCAAUCAAUGACUCAAUCAAUCAAUGACUCUCAGGAGCAUAGUUCUUAAUCAUCCCUCACAUGAACCAAAGAAACCAUGGGUACCCUCUGAAAUGGGGAUAUGGGUCAAACAUAAGAGAUACCAUAUGGGAAAGUAUUGACCCUCACCUGAAUCUGUGUGAGGAGCUUUGGGCCGUCAGCAGCACUGAGCGUGUCCAGUGAGUCCUGGAUGCCCUGAAGAGAGGAGUGACACUCGGCCAUCUUGGCUGCCACUUGUCCCUUGGCCACCACCAGGUGCCUGUAGACAUCCCCGAGGUCGGAGAAAAGCUCCUUCACCUGCUCCAUCUUCUUCCUCAUCUGGGUCUCGAUCACCUGGGUGAGGAAGAGGAAGUGGAAGAGUCAGUCACUGCUGAGCAUCAUUUUGAAAAUUUCACAAAAUAAACUUCUCUAAAUUGUGUCUCUGAGAGAGUAUUACUUUCGACUUUGUAAACGAGGACCCUUUCUAAAGUAGUGAUAAAGAACUUCAUAAGAAGAAGCGCAAAGACCUGUGCAGGACCACCCAGUGCUAUAUAGACUUAUUCAGACUAACUCCGGCAAUCUCAGACCCACACAGCAUAUCCCAGGCCCAUUCAGGCUGUCCUAGAAGUAUACAGGCUACCCCAGGC